rnacentral:rRNA from 1 species
UUGAAAACUCUAGAGAUAGAGCCUUCCCCUUCGGGGGACAAAGUGACAGGUGGUGCAUGGUUGUCGUCAGCUCGUGUCGUGAGAUGUUGGGUUAAGUCCCGCAACGAGCGCAACCCUUAAACUUAGUUGCCAGCAUUUAGUUGGGCACUCUAGGUUGACUGCCGGUGACAAACCGGAGGAAGGUGGGGAUGACGUCAAAUCAUCAUGCCCCUUAUGAUUUGGGCUACACACGUGCUACAAUGGACAAUACAAAGGGCAGCUAAACCGCGAGGUCAUGCAAAUCCCAUAAAGUUGUUCUCAGUUCGGAUUGUAGUCUGCAACUCGACUACAUGAAGCUGGAAUCGCUAGUAAUCGUAGAUCAGCAUGCUACGGUGAAUACGUUCCCGGGUCUUGUACACACCGCCCGUCACACCACGAGAGUUUGUAACACCCGAAGCCGGUGGAGUAACCAUUUAUGGAGCUAGCCGUCGAAGGUGGGACAAAUGAUUGGGGUGAAGUCGUAACAAGGUAGCCGUAUCGGAAGGUGCGGCUGGAUCACCUCCUUU